GGAUGGAUCAUUCUUGUUUCUACAACCAACACACGGAUACGUUGACUUCUACCCACAUUUACACCACAUUACUCUAACUAAAACUUUUGGCGAUGGAUGACUCGACUCUCGUAACGAGGAAGGACGCAGCAAAAUGCGAUAAGCAUUAUGACUUGCGAACACUCGUGAAUCACUCGAUUUCUGAACGCAGUUGUGCUCUUUGACUUUGUCUUCGAGCAUGUUUGGUUCGGUAUCCUUUAGAUUUGACAUUUUGUCCUCAGACAAAAUGUUGAUGAGUGCUCUCAGGCUGGGCCCGUUAGCAUUUUGGAAUCGAAAUGAUGCAUUCUCUCACCCAGAGUGGUACUGUGGGCGAGGAAGCACACGUUCGGUUUUUCUUAUCUGGAUCCGAGCUCAAACAAGAGUACCCGCUGAAUUUAAGCAUAUAACUAAGCGGAGGAAAAGAAACCAACAGGGAUUCUCAGAGUAGCGGCGAGCGAAAUGGGAACAGCCCAAGAUGCGAAUCCAGUUCACGCUGGAAUUGUGCAUCGUGUCAACGCAAGCGAGAACUUCGGAUAAGAUGUCAGGAAAGACAUGCCAUAGACGGUGACAGCCCGGUCUGUGCCGAAUGUUCAAGCGUUACUGUGCUGACACAAUGAGUCACGCUCUUUGGGAGUAGAGCGCAAAAUGGGUGGUAACCUCCAUCCAAGGCUAAAUACCAACGAGAGAUCGAUAGCAAACAAGUACCGUGAGGGAAAGUUGAAAAGCACUUCGAAAGGAGAGUUAAAAUACCUGAAAUCGCCAAAAGGGAAGCGACUGUUUGUGACCCGCUCAUUACGAGGACGAGUGUAGAACAACUUUACCUCGCGUGGCAAUUAAACCUGUCACGCAAGGGAAAAGAUUAAUACUCCGUCCCUUUAAUGACACUUGGCAACACUUCAAGUAUCCAUCAAACCAAGGAAGCUUGCUUCGUUGGCAGCCAUGGAUAGUUGGAGUGACGCUUGCCUCCGCAAGUUGCCAAGAGUGGCACAAACAGGCGACCCGUCUUGAAACACGGACCAAGGAGUUAAACAUAUGUGCGAGUGUAAGAGUGACAAACUCCUACGCGCAGUGAAAGCAAUUACGGUAGAUACCAAUUCAACCGUGGCCGACUUUAAGUUCGAGCUUGAGCAUAUUUGUUUAGACCCGAAAGAUGGUGACCUAUACCUGAGUUGGGUGAAGCCAGGGGAAACCCUGGUGGAAGCUCGUAGCGAUACUGACGUGCAAAUCGUUCGUCGAACUUGGGCAUAGGGGCGAAAGACUAAUCGAACCAUCUAGUAGCUGGUUCCCUC
rnacentral:misc_RNA from 1 species